rnacentral:rRNA from 1 species
CUUGGGUACUCGAGUGGCGAACGGGUGAGUAACACGUGGGUGAUCUGCCCUGCACUUCGGGAUAAGCCUGGGAAACUGGGUCUAAUACCGGAUAGGACCACAUUUUGGAUGGUGUGGUGGAAAGUUUUUCGGUGUGGGGUGAGCUCGCGGCCUAUCAGCUUGUUGGUGGGGUAAUGGCCUACCAAGGCGUCGACGGGUAGCCGGCCUGAGAGGGUGUACGGCCACAUUGGGACUGAGAUACGGCCCAG